rnacentral:rRNA from 1 species
AUACGUAGGGCGCAAGCGUUGUCCGGAAUCAUUGGGCGUAAAGAGCUCGUAGGUGGCCGGUCGCGUCUGCCGUGAAAGCCCGCAGCUUAACUGCGGGUCUGCGGUGGAUACGGGCCGGCUAGAGGUAGGCAGGGGCAAGUGGAAUUCCUGGUGUAGCGGUGAAAUGCGCAGAUAUCAGGAGGAACACCGGUGGCGAAGGCGGCUUGCUGGGCCUUACCUGACGCUGAGGAGCGAAAGCGUGGGGAGCGAACAGGAUUAGAUACCCUGGUAGUCCACGCCGUAAACGUUGGGCGCUAGGUGUGGGAUCCUUCCACGGGUUCCGUGCCGGAGCUAACGCAUUAAGCGCCCCGCCUGGGGAGUACGGCCGCAAGGCUAAA